UACGUAGGGGGCAAGCGUUGUUCGGAAUUAUUGGGCGUAAAGGGUGCGUAGGCGGUUCCGCAAGUCCUGUGUGAAAUCUUCGGGCUCAACUCGAAGUCUGCACGGGAAACUGUGGUGCUGGAGUGUGGGAGAGGUGCGUGGAAUUCCCGGUGGAGCGGUGAAAUGCGUAGAUAUCAUUUGGAACGCCAAUGGUGAAAACAGGUAGCUGGGGCUGUGCUGACACUGAGACACGAAAGCCAGGGGAGCAAACGGG
rnacentral:rRNA from 1 species